rnacentral:rRNA from 1 species
GGGGGAUAUUGCACAAUGGAGGAAACUCUGAUGCAGCGACGCCGCGUGAGGGAAGACGGUUUUCGGAUUGUAAACCUCUGUCUUCAGGGACGAAAUGAAUGACGGUACCUGAGGAGGAAGCUCCGGCUAACUACGUGCCAGCAGCCGCGGUAAUACGUAGGGAGCAAGCGUUGUCCGGAAUUACUGGGUGUAAAGGGAGCGUAGGCGGGAAUGCAAGUUGAAUGUCAAAUCUACCGGCUUAACUGGUAGCCGCGUUCAAAACUGCGUUUCUUGAGUGAAGUAGAGGUAGGCGGAAUUCCCGGUGUAGCGGUGAAAUGCGUAGAGAUCGGGAGGAACACCAGUGGCGAAGGCGGCCUACUGGGCUUUAACUGACGCUGAGGCACGAAAGUGUGGGUAGCAAACAGGAUUAGAUACCCUGGUAGUCCACACUGUAAACGAUGAUUACUAGGUGUGGGGGGUCUAACCCCCUCCGUGCCGGAGUUAACACAAUAAGUAAUCCACCUGGGGAGUACGACCGCAAGGUUGAAACUCAAAGGAAUUGACGGGGGCCCGCACAAGCAGUGGAGUAUGUGGUUUAAUUCGACGCAACGCGAAGAACCUUACCAGGUCUUGACAUCCAACUAACGAAGCAGAGAUGCGUUAGGUGCCCUUCGGGGAAAGUUGAGACAGGUGGUGCAUGGUUGUCGUCAGCUCGUGUCGUGAGAUGUUGGGUUAAGUCCCGCAACGAGCGCAACCCUUGUGAUUAGUUGCUACGCAAGAGCACUCUAAUCAGACUGCCGUUGACAAAACGGAGGAAGGUGGGGACGACGUCAAAUCAUCAUGCCCUUUAUGACCUGGGCUACACACGUACUACAAUGGUCGUUAACAGAGGGAAGCAAUACCGCGAGGUGGAGCAAAACCCUAAAAACGGUCUCAGUUCAGAUUGUAGGCUGCAACUCGCCUACAUGAAGUUGGAAUUGCUAGUAAUCGCGGAUCAGCAUGCCGCGGUGAAUACGUUCCCG